GGAGUCUGGACCGUGUCUCAGUUCCAAUGUGGGGGACCUUCCUCUCAGAACCCCUAACCAUCGUCGCCUUGGUGGGCCGUUACCCCGCCAACUAGCUAAUGGUACGCGAGCCAAUCCGAUAGCAAUAAAUCUAUUAAACAAAGAUCAUGCGGUCUCUGUUGUUACGGAGUAUUACGCGACGUUUCCAUCGACUAUCCUCCACUACCGGGUAUGUUGCUCACGCGUUACUCACCCUUUCGCCGGUCGCCGUCAGAGUAUUGCUACUCCACGCUGCCCCUCGACUUGCAUGUGUUAAGCCUGCCGCUAGCGUUCAUC
rnacentral:rRNA from 1 species